UACGGAGGGUGCGAGCGUUGUUCGGAAUCACUGGGCGUAAAGCGCGUGUAGGCGGCCUCCUCAGUCUGAUGUGAAAGCCCUGGGCUCACCCCAGGAAGUGCAUUGGAUACUGGGAGGCUGGAGUACCGGAGAGGAGGGUGGAAUUCCUGGUGUAGCGGUGAAAUGCGUAGAUAUCAGGAGGAACACCGGUGGCGAAGGCGUCCCUCUGGCCGGAUACUGACGCUGAGACGCGAAAGCGUGGGGAGCAAACAGG
rnacentral:rRNA from 1 species